ACCAAGGUCCCAGAGAGCAGGCGGGGCACUGGGCCCUCACUCCCCAAUAUGCAAUCAGUCACCAAGAAUAGUUGCAUGUCCUUCCCCACCCUCCAUCAAGUCCAUUUGCCUGCUGGGCCCCUCUUCAUCUCCACCACCAUGACCCGUGGCAGGCUGCUGUUUUUUCUCACCGGCAUAGUCCUAGCAGCAGCCUCCUGACUGGCCCCAACAUGCAGUCCCACCCCACUUGGGCACCUGCGUGAGCCUUCUGCCUGCACAUCCAUCAUGCGUCCCGCUGGCUCAGCACCCUUCAGCAAGUCCUCCACUCCCCCACCAUCUGCAGAAUUGCAGCCGCACCACUUACAAGGUUACAAGCUCAGGAGUCAGACCUCUGAGAACAUGGUAAGGUGCUGCCUGGGCCGGAGCCCAUGAGUGACUCUGCUGAGCUCCUCCCAGCUGCUUUCGCCAGCCACAGCUGGCAGCCCCUUGUGCCCUCACUCCUUCCCUCCCUGCCCACUGAUUUGGGACCAAAAGAUCCAGCAGGUUCCAGUCCCAGCAAUGUGGACAUCUUCAGGCGCAUUCCGAGGUGCAUUUCACAGCCCCUCUGAGCCUCGAAUGAGUGAAAUACCUUCUCUGUCAGUUUAAAAAGCUUAGGGGCAACAGUUCGGGACCUGCAGAGCAGCACGCAAUUAUGAGAUGAUGGGUGUUGGUGUCAGAUAUAAGCCUGCAGUAAGACAUGGUAGUGGGGAGUGACAUUGGCUGAGAGCUGGGUGACCCUGCAGACUGGGGCUGUUGCAUGAAAACCUGUUUUCCUGCUGUGGCUACUGCCUCACACCCCAGGAGACACACACAAGUCUUCCUGGGCUGUGCUGGGGCCUGGCUGCUGCCUCCUGAGUGGGCCCCACAGGAGACACAACCAGGGCUUGCUGGUCUGGCCCAUGAAAACACUCAGAGGCACCGAGGACAGAGCCACCUGUGCCAUACCAGGCAUUCAGAGUGUCCCCUCACGCUCAUCGGACUGCUGCAGAGGCUAGAAGCUCAGGAGUCAGACCUCUGGGGACCUGGCAAGGUGCCUUACCUCCCUAUGCCUCUCCUGUGGCCCCCAGCCACUCCCCUGAGCUGCUGCCGGGAGCUUCAAGGCAUCAGAAUCUACAUAAAGUCUGCCACCUACAGUCAACCAGCUCAUGAGUUCACUUGCCUUUAGAUCAACCCAAACUUACCCUAGCAGCGUUAAAUUUCCCUUUUCCUCCACCAGAUCAGAGAAGGAAAAUUUUACAAAUUGACUUAAAUUUCUCGUCAAUUCAGGUGACGUUCCCUCAGAUUAAAAGCUGAAGAUGGAAUGAGAGUAGCUGUGUUCAAUGCUGUGCGGCAGAUGCACACGGCGCGGCUGGCUGCAUGCUCCUGGGCAAACACAACUCGUUCCAGGUGCCGAAUACGCCGCUCCCACCGUGCAGGCAAAACAGAACUAACUCUCAUGUCCACAUUUCCUUCGCCUCACACUCAUGGCCUAUUUUUCUUUCUUGGAGACAUGAAUUCACCUUUUGUAGCAUCUGCUAUAGCGCCUUCUGGAGGCAAACAAUAGCCUCUAAAAUAAAACCAGGAGUAGGCUUCAGUCUUGCCUUGGAAUCCCUCACAGGCAGAAGGGCGCGUGGUGACUGCCCCUUGGCUAGGGAAGAAUGCAUCGCACGCGACCUUAAACUUGGCUAAGUUGCCCUUUAUUAACGAAAACAUAGAGCUUUCGGUCAAUUCCACCACGGAGAACACAAACCAGAGAUAAAACCCACACCAAGGGCUAUUUCCCAAGCUGGGGAAUUUGAGAACACACGGGCAGAGUUCACGCCACACAACUACACUGGGCUCGUCCUUGGGAGGCGUUCACAGGAAGCAAUCACGAGCGCCAAGCCACCCACAAGGCAGUGCGGCAAGGCUCCCGGGAUCCUUACAGGCAUCCAAGCGAGGUACAGAAACCUCCACAGCAGUGGGGAUAAGGGGAAAAUAUUUUCUCUUGCUAAAGAAUAUCCUUAGUUCUCAACAUAAACAUGACUACGUAUAUAUUCAGCUUCAAAUGAAAAACAAGUUUACAAAUCACUACUGGAUACUUAAACUCUAUGUUGCUUUUCUUUUUGGCAGCACCAGCCUAAACUCUGUGGGUUUGCAAUAUUUCAGAAACUUCAGGUACAUUACAGUCUUCUGAGAAAGGCCCAGAACUUCAGAAUUCCCGGAGCGGCUGUGAAGAAAGAACAUUACUGGCAACAAAUAUUAAAACAACAUUUCAAGAACUCCAAGAAUACACUGAGAGGUUUGUAAAGGUGCACAUAUUUAAGCAUUCAAGCUAUAUCCUAAAUCAUUUUUCUGUUAACGUAUUUAUUUUUGGCUUAGGAAAAACAUGUACUUUAUUGGCAAAUUGUUUUAGCUGUAGACGGAUGGAUGAUUCUACAGCCACACUCCCCUUUCCGGGUGUACAUCCGGGGCCUGUGCACCUGCGCGGAAUCAGGCAACUUUGUUUUUCCCGGUCCCCAAAAAGCUCACCUUUGACACACCCUCUAUAUGCACAGGAAAACUGCUCUUCUUAUUCAGGGUCUCUUUUUGUGGUGGAAUUCAGAGAAACUGGGUUGCAACAUCUUUUUAGGGAGAGGUCGAGUAUGUUUUUUCAUUCGAGUGACUCUGCAUGCUUAAGGAAUCUGAGUCGGUAUAAAGGACUAGACCACUGAAUUGCGUACAGCGUCCCAGGAUGCCUGCAGCCCCAGAGUACAAACUGUAGAUGCUCUCGUGGCCUGAAUGUGGAAUUUUACCCACCAGAA
rnacentral:lncRNA from 1 species